AUGGCUGCAGUUGUAGAGUGUUCUGAAGCUCUCAGGUGGCUGAUAGGUUUUGUCUACUUUCUAUGACUGAAAGGAGCACUUACAAAGGGAUGCAAAAAUAAUCUAAGCAUUUGUUUAAAUACCUUACACAUAUACCUGACAAUAUUCAUAGCACACUUGUGUGCAAGGUCAGUACU
rnacentral:lncRNA from 1 species